rnacentral:rRNA from 1 species
UUCCGGUUGAUCCUGCCGGACCUUACUGCUAUCGGGGGAGGACUAAAACAUGCAAGUCGUGCGCCUCCAAGCUAUGAUGGAGACGCGGCGUACAGCUCAAUAACACGUGGCUAACCCACCCUUGACACGGACACAACCCCGGGAAAGUGGGGCUAAUCCCCGAUGGGAGAAGACACCUGGAAUGGGUCUUCUCCCAAAAGGCGUUUAGGCCAUGCUUCUAGAUGUCGCUCAAGGACGGGGCCGCGGCCGAUCAGGUUGUUGGUGAGGCAAUGGCUCACCAAGCCUAUAACCGGUACGGGCCGUGAGAGCGGGAGCCCGGAUAUGGGCACUGAGACAAGGGCCCAGGCCCUACGGGGCGCAGCAGUUGCGAAAACUCCGCAAUGCACGAAAGUGUGACGGGGCUACCCCGAGUGCCGUCCGCUGAGGGCGGCUUUUCCCCGGUGUAAGGAGCCGGGGGAAUAAGGAGAGGGCAAGUCUGGUGUCAGCCGCCGCGGUAAUACCAGCUCUCCGAGUGGUAGGAAUGAUUAUUGGGCUUAAAGCGUCCGUAGCUGGUCUAGCAAGUCUUCCGUUAAAUCCACCGAUUCAAUCGUUGGACUGCGGGAGAUACUGUUGGGCUAGGGGGCGAGAGAGGCCAACGGUAUUCUCGGGGUAGGGUUAAAAUCCUAUAAUCCCGGGAGGACCACCAGUGGCGAAGGCGGUCGGCUAUAACGCGCUCGACGGUGAGGGACGAAAGCUGGGGGAAGCGAACCGGAUUAGAUACCCGGGUAGUCCCAGCUGUAAACGAUGCGGGCUAGGGUGUUGGGGCGCUACUGCCGCUUCAGUGCCGCAGGGAGACCAUUAAGCUCCGCCGCCUGGGAGAGUACGGCCGCAAGGCUGAAACUUAAAGGAAUUGGCGGGGGGAGCAUCACAAGGCGUGAAGCUUGGCGGUUUAAUUGGAACUCCACGCCG